rnacentral:rRNA from 1 species
UACGUAGGUCCCGAGCGUUGUCCGGAUUUAUUGGGCGCAAAGCGAGCGCAGGUGGUUUAUUAAGUCUGGUGUAAAAGGCAGUGGCUCAACCAUUGUACGCAUUGGAAACUGGUAGACUUGAGUGCAGGAGAGGAGAGUGGAAUUCCAUGUGUAGCGGUGAAAUGCGUAGAUAUAUGGAGGAACACCGGUGGCGAAAGCGGCUCUCUGGCCUGUAACUGACACUGAGGCUCGAAAGCGUGGGGAGCAAACAGG